rnacentral:tRNA from 1 species
GGCCUCAUCGUCUAGUGGCCAGGACAGGCGGUUCUCAUCCGCCAAACAGGGGUUCGAUUCCCCUUGGGGCUA